rnacentral:lncRNA from 1 species
CGUGGAAGAGCUCUCCUGUCAGAUCAUGACGAUCUACAGGAAGUUAGAGAAAAGACACAUUGCUGCUCACUGGCACUGUGACAUGUGAGGAAGAAAAGUCAUCAGGUCACGCUGCGGAGGACUCCAAGGCAGGACUCCAGCCACCACCGACACUACCGUACUGUGAAACCUCAGUGAGCACUCCACUCAGCAAACGGCCUUUUAACAAUAAAG